rnacentral:rRNA from 1 species
UACGGGGGGGGCAAGCGUUGUCCGGAAUCAUUGGGCGUAAAGCGCGUGUAGGCGGCCCGGUAAGUCCGCUGUGAAAGUCGGGGGCUCAACCCUCGAAUGCCGGUGGAUACUGUCGGGCUAGAGUGCAGAAGGGGCAACUGGAAUUCUCGGUGUAGCGGUGAAAUGCGUAGAUAUCGAGAGGAACACCUGCGGCGAAGGCGGGUUGCUGGGCUGACACUGACGCUGAUGCGCGAAAGCCAGGGGAGCGAACGGG